rnacentral:rRNA from 1 species
AUUGAACGCUGGCGGCAGGCCUAACACAUGCAAGUCGAGCGGAUGAAGGGAGCUUACUCCUGGAUUCAGCGGCGGACGGGUGAGUAAUGCCUAGGAAUCUGCCUGGCAGUGGGGGAUAACGUCCGGAAACGGGCGCUAAUACCGCAUACGUCCUGAGGGAGAAAGUGGGGGAUCUUCGGACCUCACGCUAUCAGAUGAGCCUAGGUCGGAUUAGCUAGUUGGUGGGGUAAAGGCCUACCAAGGCGACGAUCCGUAACUGGUCUGAGAGGAUGAUCAGUCACACUGGAACUGAGACACGGUCCAGACUCCUACGGGAGGCAGCAGUGGGGAAUAUUGGACAAUGGGCGAAAGCCUGAUCCAGCCAUGCCGCGUGUGUGAAGAAGGUCUUCGGAUUGUAAAGCACUUUAAGUUGGGAGGAAGGGCAGUAAGUUAAUACCUUGCUGUUUUGACGUUACCAACAGAAUAAGCACCGGCUAACUUCGUG